rnacentral:sRNA from 1 species
UACACACCGCCCGUCACACCACGAGAGUUGGUAAUACCAGAAGUAGGUAGCUUAACCGUAAGGAGAGCGCUUCCCAAGGUAGGAUUAGCGAUUGGGGUGAAGUCGUAACAAGGUAUCCGUACGGGAACGUGCGGAUGGAUCACCUCCUUUCUAUGGAGUAAAUUUUAAAAAGCAGCGUGAAACUGCUUUGACUGUUUCUGUUCUAUUUAGUUUUCAGAGGUUAUUAAUUUAAUCUCUGAAAAGAAUUGUUCUUUGAAAACUGAAUAUUAGAUGAAAAAACAAUUUUCUUAAUUGAAUUAUAUUCAAUUAUCAAAUUUGACAUCAGUUAUAAAAAAACUAAAAUUAAUGUUAUAAAUUGCAAAUAGAUUUUUUCUAAAAAAUAGUAAGAGCAUAUGGUGAAUGCCUUGGAAAAUGGAGCCGAAGAAGGACGUGACUACCUGCGAAAAGCAUCGGGGAGCUGGAAGUGAGCUUAGAUCCGGUGAUGUCCGAAUGGGGAAACCUAGUACGAUUAAUCUCGUAUUGUCCACAACUGAAUACAUAGGUUGUGAGAUGGGAACCUUGGGAACUGAAACAUCUUAGUACCAAGAGGAAAAGAAAAUAAAUAAUGAUUCUGUUAGUAGCGGCGAGCGAACGCGGAACAGGCCAAACCAGUCUACGGACUGGGGUUGUAGGACCAUAGUUAGAGUUACAAAAUUAAUGUAUAGUAGAAGCGAUUGGGAAGUCGCAGCACAGAGGGUGAUACUCCCGUAUACGAAAUGCAUUGAUCUCGAAAUGGAUAUCCUGAGUACGGCGAAACACGUGAAAUUUUGUCGGAAUCCGCCGAGACCACUCGGCAAGCCUAAAUACUACCAUUUUACCGAUAGUGAACCAGUAC